rnacentral:rRNA from 1 species
AUGGUGCACAAAAUUUUUAAUGUCCCAUCCGGACCAAGGGUAGUGGAGCUGCUGAAGAGGAACGAACGUUGCGAGCUGCGCGACAUAUAUCGAGAAGGCACAAGGGCUCCAAUGAAGAAAUCCAUUUCUGUAAUCAAGAAAGCAUCGGAUAAUGAUGUUGUUACUUUAGAGAGGACUUGGGUUCUUUUAUGCCUUGCUCUCGUGCUAGUUCCUGGCACCGGCAACAUGGUCUUGUUGGACUACCUUGCUAGCUUGAAGGACUUGGAUGAACUGAAUGAGUUUGCGUGGGACGAGCAUGUGUUGGCAACUGCGUUGAGGGAGGCGGGGAAUUACCAACUAAAGAGGGAGGCUGGGGCAAGUGGCUUUUGGAUAGGCGGCUGUCUACCUAUGUUCGUGUUAAUUUACAUGGAUUUCCUGGAUGUGCCUCGGUCAUUGAUUAGUGAGGAGACGUUCAACUACUCGUUGCCCAGGGCUUGCUUUGUGUGCAAUGCAGAUUUUGAGCUUGUUAAAGAAUUUGACAGGAACAAGCUCACCCUCGAGAAGGUUGAUUUUGGAAAGUGCAAUUACUGA